rnacentral:rRNA from 1 species
UACGUAGGCAGCAAGCGUUGUUCGGAAUUACUGGGCGUAAAGAGUGUGUAGGCGGUGCUCUAAGUCUGUUGUGAAAUCUCCCGGCUUAACCGGGAGGGUGCGGCGGAAACUGGAGUGCUUGAGGGUGGGAGAGGUAAGCGGAAGUUCCUGGUGUAGCGGUGAAAUGCGUAGAUAUCAGGAGGAACACCUGUGGUGUAGACAGCUUACUGGACCACUUCUGACGCUGAGACACGAAAGCGUGGGUAGCAAACAGG